rnacentral:rRNA from 1 species
UCCAGAGUAUCAAUUGGACGGGCAAGUCUGGUGCCAGCAGCCGCGGUAAUUCCAGCUCCACAUAGCGUAUAUUGAAAAUUGUUGCGAGUCUAAAAAUGCUCGUAGGUCGAAUUUCUGCGUACAGUUCGCCGUAUUCUCCUUUACGAGUUU